GGUUAAGCGACUAAGCGUACACGGUGGAUGCCCUGGCAGUCAGAGGCGAUGAAGGACGUGCUAAUCUGCGAAAAGCGUCGGUAAGGUGAUAUGAACCGUUACAGCCGGCGAUGUCCGAAUGGGGAAACCCAGUGCAAUUCGUUGCACUAUCGUUAACUGAAUACAUAGGUUAACGAGGCGAACCGGGGGAACUGAAACAUCUAAGUACCCCGAGGAAAAGAAAUCAACCGAGAUUCCCCCAGUAGCGGCGAGCGAACGGGGAGCAGCCCAGAGUCUGAAUCAGCUUGUGUGUUAGUGGAACGGUCUGGAAAGUCCGACGGUACAGGGUGAUAGUCCCGUACACCAAAAUGCACAGGCUGUGAACUCGAAGAGUAGGGCGGGACACGUGGUAUCCUGUCUGAAUAUGGGGGGACCAUCCUCCAAGGCUAAAUACUCCUGACUGACCGAUAGUGAACCAGUACCGUGAGGGAAAGGCGAAAAGAACCCCGGCGAGGGGAGUGAAAAAGAACCUGAAACCGUGUACGUACAAGCAGUGGGAGCACCUUCGGGUGUGACUGCGUACCUUUUGUAUAAUGGGUCAGCGACUUAUAUUCUGUAGCAAGGUUAACCGUAUAGGGGAGCCGCAGGGAAACCGAGUCUUAACUGGCGUUAAGUUGCAGGGUAUAGACCCGAAACCCGGUGAUCUAGCCAUGGGCAGGUUGAAGGUUGGGUAACACUAACUGGAGGACCGAACCGACUAAUGUUGAAAAAUUAGCGGAUGACUUGUGGCUGGGGGUGAAAGGCCAAUCAAACCGGGAGAUAGCUGGUUCUCCCCGAAAGCUAUUUAGGUAGCGCCUCGUGAAUUCAUCUUCGGGGGUAGAGCACUGUUUCGGCUAGGGGGUCAUCCCGACUUACCAACCCGAUGCAAACUACGAAUACCGAAGAAUGUUAUCACGGGAGACACACGGCGGGUGCUAACGUCCGUCGUGAAGAGGGAAACAACCCAGACCGCCAGCUAAGGUCCCAAAGUCAUGGUUAAGUGGGAAACGAUGUGGGAAGGCACAGACAGCCAGGAUGUUGGCUUAGAAGCAGCCAUCAUUUAAAGAAAGCGUAAUAGCUCACUGGUCGAGUCGGCCUGCGCGGAAGAUGUAACGGGGCUAAACCAUGCACCGAAGCUGCGGCAGCGACACUAUGUGUUGUUGGGUAGGGGAGCGUUCUGUAAGCCUGCGAAGGUGACCUGUGAGGGUUGCUGGAGGUAUCAGAAGUGCGAAUGCUGACAUAAGUAACGAUAAAGCGGGUGAAAAGCCCGCUCGCCGGAAGACCAAGGGUUCCUGUCCAACGUUAAUCGGGGCAGGGUGAGUCGACCCCUAAGGCGAGGCCGAAAGGCGUAGUCGAUGGGAAACAGGUUAAUAUUCCUGUACUUGGUGUUACUGCGAAGGGGGGACGGAGAAGGCUAUGUUAGCCGGGCGACGGUUGUCCCGGUUUAAGCAUGUAGGCUGGUUAUCCAGGCAAAUCCGGAUAAUCAAGGCUGAGGUGUGAUGACGAGGCACUACGGUGCUGAAGUAACAAAUGCCCUGCUUCCAGGAAAAGCCUCUAAGCAUCAGGUAACAUCAAAUCGUACCCCAAACCGACACAGGUGGUCAGGUAGAGAAUACCAAGGCGCUUGAGAGAACUCGGGUGAAGGAACUAGGCAAAAUGGUGCCGUAACUUCGGGAGAAGGCACGCUGGUGUGUAGGUGAAGUCCCUGCGGAUGGAGCUGAGACCAGUCGAAGAUACCAGCUGGCUGCAACUGUUUAUUAAAAACACAGCACUGUGCAAACACGAAAGUGGACGUAUACGGUGUGACGCCUGCCCGGUGCCGGAAGGUUAAUUGAUGGGGUUAUCCGUAAGGAGAAGCUCUUGAUCGAAGCCCCGGUAAACGGCGGCCGUAACUAUAACGGUCCUAAGGUAGCGAAAUUCCUUGUCGGGUAAGUUCCGACCUGCACGAAUGGCGUAAUGAUGGCCAGGCUGUCUCCACCCGAGACUCAGUGAAAUUGAACUCGCUGUGAAGAUGCAGUGUACCCGCGGCAAGACGGAAAGACCCCGUGAACCUUUACUAUAGCUUGACACUGAACAUUGAGCCUUGAUGUGUAGGAUAGGUGGGAGGCUUUGAAGCGUGGACGCCAGUCUGCGUGGAGCCAACCUUGAAAUACCACCCUUUAAUGUUUGAUGUUCUAACGUUGGCCCCUGACCGGGGUUGCGGACAGUGUCUGGUGGGUAGUUUGACUGGGGCGGUCUCCUCCCAAAGCGUAACGGAGGAGCACGAAGGUUAGCUAAUCCUGGUCGGACAUCAGGAGGUUAGUGCAAUGGCAUAAGCUAGCUUGACUGCGAGCGUGACGGCGCGAGCAGGUGCGAAAGCAGGUCAUAGUGAUCCGGUGGUUCUGAAUGGAAGGGCCAUCGCUCAACGGAUAAAAGGUACUCCGGGGAUAACAGGCUGAUACCGCCCAAGAGUUCAUAUCGACGGCGGUGUUUGGCACCUCGAUGUCGGCUCAUCACAUCCUGGGGCUGAAGUAGGUCCCAAGGGUAUGGCUGUUCGCCAUUUAAAGUGGUACGCGAGCUGGGUUUAGAACGUCGUGAGACAGUUCGGUCCCUAUCUGCCGUGGGCGCUGGAGAAUUGAGGGGGGCUGCUCCUAGUACGAGAGGACCGGAGUGGACGCAUCACUGGUGUUCGGGUUGUCAUGCCAAUGGCACUGCCCGGUAGCUAAAUGCGGAAGAGAUAAGUGCUGAAAGCAUCUAAGCACGAAACUUGCCCCGAGAUGAGUUCUCCCUGAGACUUUAAGUCUCCUGAAGGAACGUUAAAGACGAUGACGUUGAUAGGCCGGGUGUGUAAGCGCAGCGAUGCGUUGAGCUAACCGGUACUAAUGAACCGUGAGGCUUAACCUU
rnacentral:rRNA from 1 species